AAUUUAUAACAGAUAGUUGACAUGGUAAGCAAGUUAAUAUUUUUUAAUAAAAAACGAAAUAAGACGAAUAGCAUACAUUAUUGUUGUUGCGGUGUGUCACGUGACAAUCAUGACCGUCGCCAUGGACACAAGGGGUCGGAUAUUUAGAGUUAAAUAUUUUUAACUUACGCGUGAAAUGGUUGAUUUUAAAAAUAUAUAUAUUCUAAGUAAACAACAACAGCCCAGGUUUAGUAAACAUUUUUUUAUUGAAACUAUAAAUAAAUAUUCUGCAUCCAUUUUAGGUGUGCCACUGUGGGUGGCUCCCGCACACCCGUGGCUACGCCCCUGCCGUGACCCAAAUCUCGUUCGCACAUCAUCGCGAUGUUUAUCAUCUAUUUACAAACGUAGCCAGUCGCCACAUCUUUUUUCUUCACAUACAUCUCAUUCUCCAUCUACACACUCCACAACAUUUAAACCAAUGGCUCUUUUAAGAGCCAUCACCUGCAAAAGCUCUCCUACUCAGGCAUGCACUCACUCUCCAACUCACACACAUGGCACCUGGAUCCAGAACACGCCAUAGUGCUUGCUACAAAGAAAUUGGCAGUGCCUCCAAAAAGAGGCAUUAUUAGCCUAUCCCCUGUAUGUCAUUGAUGCGCUACUUCAAAGAUGUGAGGAAAAGAACAUACACCUGCGAGUAGUCUGUUUGUUACUUUGCCUGUGUUAUUGCCUCACAUUUGCAGAAAUCAGGUGAGGGCAUAUCACACAACAUUGCCUUGGCCGUACCAGCAUUUCAUGUUUAUGGACACAAAUUGCCCUGCCAGAUCAAGUACAGUACCAGAUGGCUUGAUGGGUUUGGGCUCACAGACGGGGAAGGAAUGGAAAGGCUGUGGUCUUUCCUCCAAAGAUUUGCCAGAGUCACAAAGGAGAUGACUCCAUCUCAUCGCCUUGACCUACUGACUGAUGCCCUUUUGCAUUAUGGACGGUGGAAAUCA